CCGCUCGACUCUGUGCCUUGCAGAUCUACACUAAGAUGUAUUCGAUGCCCAACGGAGAGCAGGAGCAGGAGGGAGAGGCGAGCGGGGGUGACAGUGGUGACUGAAAUUCUGACGGAGGACGAGACAAGGAGAGUGAAGACUCGAGCAGUGGUGCGGAGGUCGACUCUCCACCUCGCACGGAAAGAGCUCCAAGCAGAGGUAGGACCCAGCAAGUGUUCGUGGCAAAGCUACUCCACCGACCGGACAGACCUUAAAGCGCACUAUAACAUCUUCUCCUGUGCUGACUAAGAAAGCUCCGAAGCAGCCCAAAGACGCACCGUCAAAGCCCCGGAAGGCCUUUCCCAAGAUUAAAGUGGAUGUCCCCAUCGCUUCUGGUUCUGCUACCUCUGGGACUUCUAUUUACCAAGAUGAUGAUGACGAGGAGAUGGAAGACGUAGUCACCUCCAACGCGGCUCCGCCCAAUGUUAUUGAACUUCCAGAUGACGACGAAGAUGUGCCGCAGAGACCUAUUGGAAGGAGGGGCGGGACUUCGAGCAGGAAGGCACCGGCUAGCAAAACGUCCCAGUCAACGCCGGCGACGGAACCAGUGAUUUAGCAGUCCAGAAACCUCAACUGGGUUUCUGUAACUUUUGUCGUUCCAGUAUCGAGUGAACGUCCUUGAUCAUCGACUGCACAAGUCCCUAUUUCGUCUAUAGAACACCACGCCUCGAAUCGUCAAGUUGUCGCGACUCUUCCACCGUCUCCGCUGUUUGUCACCCAUCGCGUUCCGGAGGAUUAGGCAAGCGCUGAUAAGGAAGCCAUACGCCAAGCAGGCCUGAUGAUGGAGCGGAUGAAUACGGUGCAUGAGACCAGCCAAGUUGCCUAUGAUGCCAGUGCAGCUCUCCAAGCCAAUGUCCAGAAAUCCUGUGAGCUCAUAUCCCAAUUUGCUGAAUUUGAGAGAAAGCAGAUCCAGCUCAAUCUUGACUUGGAGUUGGCCAAGAAGAACUUGCAGAAGGCCAAAGACGAAACAACUGGUAUGGAAGAGAAAAUGAGGCAGGCUCUGGCAUAGAAGGACCUUGAUCUUGCCGCAGCACAGGAGGCUCUGGAGAAAAUAGCACUCGCUGAUAAGAAGCUGGCUUCAAUCGGGGCGCUAGAGGAAGACAACGUCAAGCUGAAGACUGCUCUUGCCGAAGCUAAUAGAGAAGUGACCCAUUUGAAGAAGGACAAAGUAGCCUUGAAUGAAAAGAUUGAAUUCAUUUCUCGGAAGAGAAAUGACCUGGAGGCUUAUCUGGGGGGA